CUAGUCUAGAUAGUCCUUCUGGCAAGAGAAUAAACAACCUGCUUACCACCCCAAGUGUAUUAACCUAUCCUAUCCCCAGUCAGAUCUGUGCGUGUGUGUGUAUGUGUAUGUGUAUGUGUAUGUGUGUAAGGUCUGUGUGACAAUUUGACCACUGUCCCCGUCUGUUUAACUGCCUAUCAAUAGCGCGCAUUGAUGGAUAGUGAAUGAACAGCAAACCUUCAAGCAUACAGUAUAUUCAAGCUCUUUAUUCAAGCAACAAACACUCACAAACAAUCUCUCCCCCUCACCAUGGCUCUGUACUGCAGACUAAAAGAGACAGGGUGGGGCUGAGGGCUUUAAAUAUGGUGUCAGGAAACACCUGCUGCCACUGAUUGGCCCAUUUUGGGCCAAGCCAUUUUCCCUUGUGUCAAAGGAGGACACUGGACAUUGACAUUGGACAUUAAUGAGCGACAAGCCGAAAUGCACUAGUGAAAAUCACUGAUCUACAAGAAUAAAUUAACUUUAACAUGCAUGCUGUAUUUGAGUUUAUUCAUGGUUGAUUUGCAAAAUGCCACAGUAUUAUAAUCCCCCUGUUGAUUGGGCCUGUCUAGUGGGAGGGGCCAUGGGGUAUAAAAGGGGUGAGCUGCUGUUCUUCUGAUAGUCUGUUGUAUGCUGUUGCCAGAACAGGUUGUCUGUGUUGAGCAGGGUGCUCAGCUCUCCACGAGAUGCUAAAUAUCUACUGAGGUUAAAGACUUUUUGAAGUAAAGAGGAGCAUCUCAUCUGAACCUGAUGUCUAUCAUGGAUAUUUAACUGCAGUUCUGUGAGUAUCCCAACUUAACCAUCAAGAUGAACUGCAAACUGUAAGUCAUAAGUUUCUCAUUAAUCUUGGGCACAUUGAUGUAUUUUGGCUUCCUGGUGAGUUAACCCGUUACCUGAAGGUUGAUCUGAGUGGUAAGGAUGUUUUAUUGGUUCAUGGGUUACUUGGGUGUUUGGUUUAUGUUGGUUUUAAUGAUUUGUUAAAAUGGUUACAGGCUCCCAAGUUAUCGUUGUAAGCUGGAGUAAUGGGUUGGGUUCUGAUAUCUUCAGUCUUCUUUCCAGCUACUCUCCUGAGCUCUGCAUCUUCAUCACAUGAGUGUUGCUCUACUGAUUAGGCUGUGGUCUGAGUGAGCAGAGGUGCAUACUGGGAUACAGAGCUGUUUGAAGUCUACAGGUCUGUAGACACGCCCCCUCAGGGGAAACCGAGUGUUUGAGAAACCGUUGUGAUGUCAGUUACAUGGACUGGAAUGUUCUUUAAGAUGGAGACAGGGAUUCAGAAGGAGAAACGCCAGGGGGAGAUGAGGGGGCUCCUCAUCUCAACGACUAAAACACAACUUCAGUCUGACACAGAGAACCAUGGAACACAUUCAACAGUCCCCUCCAGCCAUCGUGACUCCUCAGGAACAGUUUCAUUUCCAAGAAGGUCUUAUUUGGGGCCAUCCCCAUAUGGAUCCUGCUCCUCAAGAGCCACCCCCCUCCACUGGGUGGUCUUCUGAACAGAUGACCUUCCUGUCCUCAGGCUGACUAAAGCUGCACCGUUUGCAUCUGUGAAGGCCCCUCAUUCAGGAAACCACUGGACUACAAAGACACGACUUCAGAGACGUUGAAUCACCUUGGGACACAUUUUGGAGACGCCAAGCAUAAUCCAUCACCAAUGUGGGACGCCACUGAAAAAUGUUGCACGUAAUUUACUUCUCUGGAGACAUUGGUUGUUCUCUUCUGGGUGCCCUGGCAGGAGAGCUGGGGUUGGAGUGUGUGUGUGUGUGUGUGUGUGUGUGUGUGUGUGUCAUCGCUAGGGUUCUACUGUGUGUGUGUGUCUCCCACCUGGUAUGGGAUUCUAUGUGUGUGUGUCCGCCUUGCUUUGACAGUAAUAAUGUUCAUACGGGGGUCUGUGUGAUUGGCUUGGGAUAUUGGAAUGGUCAAUUAAAUCAUACCUGAUGGACGGCCACACGUUUACUUAAGGGCCUCCAGUAGACAUAAAGAGCCCAGAGCGACGCUCCGGAGCGUGAUCCAACACACUGGGCAGGAAGGAGGGUAACCAACUCAAGUGUAAAAGGAUGCAAGCGGCGUGUUCAGAUCAGUGACUUCAAACUAGGACCAAUCAGGAUCAAUGGAGGAUGGACACCAAAAGGAAUUCCCAAUCAGGAUCAAUGGAGGAUGGACACCAAAAGGAAUUCCCAAAGGAGAGUCUGACGAAAGGGACCUAAAUGGAUAUUCAAGAUAACCUUCAGACCUGUAAUGAGACGGCUCUUCCUACCUGGCUGGAUUGAUGGAGAGCCCUGUGGAUCUUGUCUUGCUCUCAGUUGCACGUCUUCUCAGGCUGAACUGUAUUCGUUUCGGACAGGACUAGCUGAACGAUUGGUUCCCUUAAAUCAGAACCAAUCUGGGAACUCCAACUAGUGCGCUCUUCGAGCUGAGGAGGUAAGGAAACCUUCCCUGGGGUUUCAAGGUGUAAAGAGGAGGAUGUUUCAAAGUGUUCCAUGGUACUCUGAUGAGGACCGUUGUUGUGUUCCACUGGCUGGGAGGAAGAACCCUCACAUCUUCCUCUUGGCCUUUCUCCUCUGAGUAUCCUGGCGCCAUCUUGAAGGAUAUUCCAGCUCAUGCAACUGAUGUCACGACAGAUUCUCAAACACUUGGUUUCUCCUGAGGGGCGUGUCUAUAGAACUGAAGACUUGAGACAGCACUGUAUCCCAGCAUGCAUCUCUGCUCACUCAGACCACACCCCCAUGAGUAGGAUGCAACAUUCUAGGGAUGGAGAUGUAGAGUUUUAUAAGUAACGAGGGAGCAGACAAAGGUGUUUAGAACACAAUGGCAUGUCAAGUCUGUAAAUCUCUAAACCAUGAAGAUGAUUGGAUAGUUCAGUAAUUGGGCUUCUAUUUAUUAUGAGCAGUCCUUUCGCUCAGAUGCCCACUUCUCACUAGACCUGUACAUGUGUUGGCUGGCUGGCAUGAUUUGCUGUUGGUGAUGAGGCGGUCAAGGUGACGUUGCAGGGCUUAUGGUUGGCUCUCUGUGAGCUAAACGUUUAGAUUUGCUCUGUAUGGUUUGUACCCUGAAUAAUCUAUAUAAGUGUAAAAUGUAGACGCGGUUUUGUAUUGAAUGAUUCCAUUGUUCUUAGGCAAGGAUUUGAGGUUUAAAGUUGUUGUGGGACGUACAUGGUAGUUUGGUUCUUUGUAUGGUUUUGAGUGAUAUAGCUUGUACACACUGGGUGCAUAAUAAUGUAAAGGUACCAACAGCAACAAACAGAUCUCCUCAAGGUAAGUCUGUUGGCUGUGUUUUAAUGUAGACCAUCGCUGGACUUCAGGAUCUUCCUCCGUUCAGCUCAAGGUGAGGCGCUGGUUAUGUUUUUUCUUUGGUUGGUUCCGGCCGGAAUGUUCGGAUUCCGGUCGGACGGUUUGUGCUUCCCGCCGUGGAGGUUUCUGAGUGUGGUCACUUUAUUUAGUCCCAAUGGUUAGCAUAGAACGUUGUAGUCUUGAUAAACAUUAGAGGCCACCUGGCAGUUAGUUGGAGCGGAGUCCCCUGAGGGAAUCUGGCAGAACGUUCUGGAUUGUAUUUGCGCAACCUCGAGCCGCUGCCAACGGAAACAAUUUUUCAGUCGGUUUCCAUUGGGAAUUGUUGCCCCUUAUCUUAAACAACUUAAGUUUGAUAUUAAAUAAUAAUAAAUAAUACAUUUAAUUUAAAGGGCGCCUUUCAAGACACCCAAGGUCACCUUACAGAGCAUAAAGUUAUCAUAAAUCGUUUAAAAACAAGACAUUGUGGAAAAAUAAUAAUAAUAGAUAGAUAAAUAAAACAAAAACAAGACAAAACAAACAAUCAAGACAGUGAUCAGUUAGACGUAAAUACAUACUGAUACGUACGUCGUACAAUAUCUUGAUAAUUUUCGAUGGUUGCGCCGUACUUCUAACCACGUUGACGGGACUCGCGCUGCGUACGAAACGGCCUUCUACUUGCGGGCCCAUUUUUGACAUCGGUGAAGGCUGUAAAUCAUUUCAAGCUGGAAGACAUUUUGACAGUUCUUCAACGGAACCCAACACCUGAAUAUGGCUGAGUAAAUUUGAUUUAAUAUCGAUACUGCUUAGUGUUUGUUACUUCAGCUUUUGUACGUUCUAAAUAUCUGCGGCCAUUAAUUGCCACAGAAGUUAAACCCUACCCAAUGGAAUGACGUUAAACAACGACUUUGUUGCAGAGUUACCAACUGGAUAAUAUCAAAGCUAAAAUAAUGGCCGUUCUUCUCACAUGUUACAGUAGAAGAUUAUCCAGAACUGUACAAGGUUAAAAAGGUAAAAAGUUUGUCCCAAGGUGUCUGCCUCCUCACCCAGAGCCAGACCUCCACCUCCUCACCCAGAGCCAGACCUCCACCUCCUCACCCAGAGCCAGACCUCCACCUCCUCAGCCAGAGCCAGACCUCCACCUCCUCAGCCAGAGCCAGACCUCCACCUCCUGUCAGAAGUCGUCCUGAACAGGCGAGGCUGAGAGGCUGGGGACCGGAGGCUUGUGGUGCCAGGGUGGACCGGAGACUGAGGCAGGAGACCAGGGGCCUGCAGCACCGGACCAGAGGACCAGGAAUCCAUGUCUGGAGGAGCUGAUGGAGGAGCUGAAGGAGGAGCCGUGCUGGUGGAGCUGAUGGAGGAGCCCUGCUGAAGGCCCUGCCUGGUGGAGCAGCUGGUGGAGGCCCUGCCUGGUGAAGGACAUCUCUGUCGUGGGGUAGAUGGAGCUUGACUCUGAAGUGAUCAUCACACUCACUGCCACUUCUCGUAGAACACUGCUACCACAAACUACCGGCGUUUGUACCAUAUAUACCAGACAACUACAUCUGUUUUACCACAUGUUGAAGCAAGACUUUCGCUGUUUGUUCCAGACCAGGACUCUAUCUGAGGAGAGCUGCUGGAGGAGCUGAGACGCUGGAGGACGACUAGGAAUCGACCAACAAGGAUUCCUCAACGUGUUUCUGGAGCGGAGGUGAGCUGGUAGGGGAGCCGUGAAUCUGGAGGAUGACCAUCAUUCUACCAACAAGGAUUGGAAGUUUGUAUUAACCUAACAAAGUGGAAAUAAAGGGAUUUAAAAUAAGACAAACUACAUAUUUGUUUCCAGACGUUGGGGCCGGACUUGCGCUGUUUGUUCCAGACCUGGACUCUGGCUGAGGAGAGCUGAUGGAGGAGCCAAGACUCUGGAGGACGACAUCACUCCACCAACAAGGAUCCUCACCAGGAAUCUGGAGGACUGAUGGAGAAGCCGUACAUCUGGAAGUCAAAUCCUGAGGACAACCAGGGCUCUACCAUCAAGGAUUCCUCACACACCUGAGCUGAACCCCAACUGAACCUGACAUCCUGCUGGUCCCGUCUCCUCAGUUCAUCUGCGCCUCGUCCUCCAGAAGACCUGCUGAGCUCAGCAGUCUGAGGCUGAUGUAUCAAUGACCUCCAGUGGGAGUGAUCUUCUUGACCCCACAUGUAACCGACUCUUUCUGAGGAGAGCUGCUGGAGGAGCUUAGACGCUGGAGGACGACUAGGAAUCGACCAACAAGGAUUCCUCAACGUGUUUCUGGAGCGGAGGCGAGCUGGUAGGGGAGCCGUGAAUCUGGAGGAUGACCAUCACUCUACCAACAAGGAUUACGUUGGGGCCGGACUUGCUCUGUUUGUUCCAGACCAGGACUCUGCCUGUGGAUAGCUGAUGAAGGAGCAAAGACUCUGGAGGACGACAUCACUCUACCAACCAGGAUCCUCACUCUGGAAUCUGGAGGACUGAUGGUGAAGCCGUACAUCUGGAAGGCAAAUUCUGAGGACAACCAGGACUCUACCAUCAAGGAUUCCUCAUAAGUUUGCAUUAUCUGGACAUAGUGGACUAGACACACCUGAGCUGAACCUCACCUGAUCUUGUUUGGUCGGGGGAAGACACACCUGAGCUGAACCCGCCCUGAUCCUGACAUCCUGCUGGUCCCGUCUCCUCAGUUCAUCUGAGCCUCUUCCUCCAGAAGACCUGCUGAGCUCAGCAGUCUGAGGCUGAUGGAUCAAUGACCUCCAGUGGGAGUGAUCUUCUUGACCCCACAUGUAACGUGUGCUUCCACACGCCUUUCCCUCACGUCUGUCACUAACCUCACUACUUCACUACUCUCUACUACUUCCUCUUUUCUUCCUUCUCUGUGGCUCAAACCUUUACACUGAAGGCGCGCCUUCCUGCCCUCAGAGGGUUCAACUUUAGGGGUUGAGAGUCAGGGUUUAGAGUCAGGGACAGAGCUGGUCAGGGAGGACUGCUUUUACACAAACCUCUUCACUUGCUUUCGGAAUGGUGGUGACAUUUUGAAAAGCCUCAUUUGGGAAAAUGUUUUCCUCUACUUUCCUUUACAAAAGUGUACUCAACUAUUGUCAUGUGUUUUUGUUUAUAUAUUAAAAUCCCACAUUGACUUCUA